rnacentral:rRNA from 1 species
GUGUCAGCCGCCGCGGUAAUACGGAGGGAGCGAGCGUUGUUCGGAAUUACUGGGCGUAAAGGGUGCGCAGGCGGCUUUGCAAGUCGGGAGUGAAAUCCCAGGGCUUAACCCUGGAAUUGCUUUCGAAACUGCAAGGCUUGAGUCUCGGAGAGGUUGGCGGAAUUCCCAGUGUAGAGGUGAAAUUCGUAGAGAUGUGGAGGAACACCAGUGGCGAAGGCGCCUAUCUGGCUGACAACUGACGCUGAGACUCGAAAGCAUGGGGAGCAAACAGGAUUAGAUACCCUGGUAGUCC